rnacentral:rRNA from 1 species
ACCGAUAGUGAACCAGUACCGUGAGGGAAAGGUGAAAAGCACCCCGGAAGGGGAGUGAAAUAGAACCUGAAACCGUGUGCUUACAAGUAGUCAGAGCCCGUUAAUGGGUGAUGGCGUGCCUUUUGUAGAAUGAACCGGCGAGUUACGAUUUGAUGCAAGGUUAAGCAGUAAAUGUGGAGCCGUAGCGAAAGCGAGUCUGAAUAGGGCGUUUAGUAUUUGGUCGUAGACCCGAAACCAGGUGAUCUACCCUUGGUCAGGUUGAAGUUCAGGUAACACUGAAUGGAGGACCGAACCGACUUACGUUGAAAAGUGAGCGGAUGAACUGAGGGUAGCGGAGAAAUUCCAAUCGAACCUGGAGAUAGCUGGUUCUCUCCGAAAUAGCUUUAGGGCUAGCCUCAAGUGAUGAUUAUUGGAGGUAGAGCACUGUUUGGACGAGGGGCCCCUCUCGGGUUACCGAAUUCAGACAAACUCCGAAUGCCAAUUAAUUUAACUUGGGAGUCAGAACAUGGGUGAUAAGGUCCGUGUUCGAAAGGGAAACAGCCCAGACCACCAGCUAAGGUCCCAAAAUAUAUGUUAAGUGGAAAAGGAUGUGGCGUUGCCCAGACAACUAGGAUGUUGGCUUAGAAGCAGCCAUCAUUUAAAGAGUGCGUAAUAGCUCACUAGUCGAGUGACACUGCGCCGAAAAUGUACCGGGGCUAAACAUAUUACCGAAGCUGUGGAUUGUCCUUUGGACAAUGGUAGGAGAGCGUUCUAAGGGCGUUGAAGCAUGAUCGUAAGGACAUGUGGAGCGCUUAGAAGUGAGAAUGCCGGUGUGAGUAGCGAAAGACGGGUGAGAAUCCCGUCCACCGAUUGACUAAGGUUUCCAGAGGAAGGCUCGUCCGCUCUGGGUUAGUCGGGUCCUAAGCUGAGGCCGACAGGCGUAGGCGAUGGAUAACAGGUUGAUAUUCCUGUACCACCUAUAAUCGUUUUAAUCGAUGGGGGGACGCAGUAGGAUAGGCGAAGCGUGCGAUUGGAUUGCACGUCUAAGCAGUAAGGCUGAGUAUUAGGCA